UGGCGAGCGGCGAACGGCUGAGUAACACGUUAGUACCUGCCCCAAACUCAGGGAUAAGCCUUGGAAACGAGGUCUAAUACCGGAUGUCCCAGUAACGGGAAAGAUUUUAUCGGUUUGGGAGGGGCUUGCGACGUAUCACGCUUGUUGGUGAGGUAACUGCUCACCAAGGCUAUGACGCGUAUCUGGUGUGAGAGCACGACCAGACAGAGUGGGACUGAGACACGGCCCACACUCCUACGGGAGGCAGCAGUGAGGAAUUUUCCACAAUGGGCGAAAGCCUGAUGGAGCAAUCUCGCGUGGAGGAUGACACCUUUCGGGGCGUAAACUCCUUUUCUGAGGGAAGAAGUUCUGACGGUACCUCAGGAAUAAAGGGCGGCUAAUUCCGUGCCAGCAGCCGCGGUAAUACGGAAGCCCUAAGCGUUAUCCGGAAUCACUGGGCGUAAAGCGAUCGAAGGUGGACCAGUUAGUCUGACAUCAAAUCCCUGCGGCUCAACCGAGGGUUCGUGUCGGAAACUGCUGGACUAGAGGAAUGCAGAGGAAACUGGAAUUUCUGUUGUAGGGGUAAAAUCCGUAGAUAACAGAAGGAACACCAAAAGCGAAGGCAGGUUUCUGGGCAUUUCCUGACGCUGUGCGAUCGAAGGCGUGGGGAGCGAAAGGGAUUAGAUACCCCUGUAGUCCACGCCGUACAC
rnacentral:rRNA from 1 species